rnacentral:rRNA from 1 species
AGAGUUUGAUCCUGGCUCAGAGUGAACGCUGGCGGCAGGCCUAACACAUGCAAGUCGAACGGCAGCACAGCAGUAGCAAUACUGUGGGUGGCGAGUGGCGGACGGGUGAGGAAUGCGUCGGAAUCUGCCUAUUUGUGGGGGAUAGCGUAGGGAAACUUACGCUAAUACCGCAUACGACCUACGGGUGAAAGUGGGGGACCUUCGGGCCUCACGCAGAUAGAUGAGCCGACGCCGGAUUAGCUAGUUGGCGGGGUAAAGGCCCACCAAGGCGACGAUCCGUAGCUGGUCUGAGAGGAUGAUCAGCCACACUGGGACUGAGACACGGCCCAGACUCCUACGGGAGGCAGCAGUGGGGAAUAUUGGACAAUGGGCGCAAGCCUGAUCCAGCCAUGCCGCGUGUGUGAAGAAGGCCUUCGGGUUGUAAAGCACUUUUGUCCGGAAAGAAAUCCUUUCGAUUAAUACUCGGGAGGGAUGACGGUACCGA